rnacentral:lncRNA from 1 species
UAGUUCAGUUACAGGUUAAGAAAAAAAUGUAAUUGCUUUGCUUUGCUUUAGGUAUUGAAGAUGAUAUACAGCCAUAAUCUUAGAUUAUGAUGAAGCUGCACCUAAACUUCUGCCAGUAUCGCUUGCUGCACUCAUCCAGAUGCGGAGAGACUGCUGGAAGGAAAGACCAUGUCCAGGGUCCCUCAUCCCCGAGCCAGGAUGCACAGGAGGGCUGCCAGGUAACCUUCUGACACCCUCAACCUCUGCUCAAAAACAGCUAAGUCAAACAAGGUACUCAGUAUUGUUGAAUAAACCUGUAUUACACAGAGUCUGCAUGUUGCCCAAAACCAGUUAUCCAAGCUCUAUCUGCCAGAGAUGAAAAUGUUAAGGUAUGGAUGAUUGUAAACCAUUUAUUGUUUAUGAAUUCAAAGUCCUCUCAGAUGUCCCUGGGUGCUGGAUUUUGCUUAUGGAUCUCUGAACUAGCUGAAGGAAAUGUAAAAUGAAAUGUAGACAGACAGCUCCCUCUUGAAUACAUAUCCAUGGAGGCUCGGGAACACUUGUUAUGCUAGCAAGGGUGUGGAAUAAAUUACACUGAGGAAAUUUGCUGUAGAUCCA